rnacentral:lncRNA from 1 species
GUUUUCCUCGUAAUGUUCCUUCAAAUAUUGCAUCUCCCUGAGGCCUUUCCUCUCCAGAUUAAUUGUUCUCUUGUCAUGCAGGUUUAUCUUUGAUGGACAUGAUUUCCUAGACUUUCACUACCCUGUUCAUCCUCCUUUCAAUGUAUUCUCAUUGGCGAUCUCUCCCUUCAAACAAUCCAGAACUGAAUGCAGUACUGCAGGUGUGAUCUAUCCAUGUGAUGCCCAGAAGGCUGAUUUAUUCAUUGACCUGGAAUCCCUCACUCAGUUCUAUUAUUACAGCCUAAGUCAGCGUUUUCUACUGUGAUCUGAUGCAUUUCCUGUUAGAGUAGAAUGACCUUAUAGUCUUUUUCAGAUGAAUUACUAUUAAUCUAGUUCUCUUCCACUGUGUAACAUUUCAUUUUGUUAGUUUACCUUUCUGAUCCGGGGUGAUGAUUGUGUUGGUUGGUAUCUCUUUAUAGCAAUUCUAUCAACAAAGCAAAUUGGUAACCUUGUUAGUUUUCAGUCAUUUAUCAAUUUGAAACUGUGCUUUCUUCCAUUAAGCUAAAUAAAAACUUUCUGAGAAGAGCGAUUGAAGCUGAAGGAAACUCACUCUUCAGUCGCUAUACUAGGAAAUGGGAAUGAAGUCGCUCAGCCCUGUUCUCAACUUUAUUUACUCUAAACGGCAUUCUAUAAAAAGCUGCAAAACCAAGGGGUCUGAGAUCUGACACCUGAAAUGGCUGCAAUCAUUCAAAGGCACCCCUUUUCCUAUCCCUUGCUGAUUGACCCCCUCCUAUUGUGCCUUUCAAUACAUAGCCUACAACUCUAUAUUUAGGGCAAUGACCAGCCAUCCACACAGGCUCCAAACACUUCUCACUCUUCUCUAGGAUAGCUUCCCCUGUGAGUUUGGUGUUAGACUGAGAAGGAUUAUGUUCCUCUCUCACCUCGACCGCCUAUUGUGUGACAUUAUACUCUUUCCUGGAACUUUCUGUUGUUUCAUGCCCUAUAAAAUAAUAAACAAUGGUGACAGCUA